UACGUAUUAGGGACCACUAAGGUCUAUAUAAAAGAGACUUCAGAUACAGUAUUAGGGACCACUAAGGUCUAUAUAAAGAGACUUCAAUACAGUAUUAGGACCACUAAGGUCUACUAUAAAGAGACUUCCGAUACAGUAUUAGGGGACCUAAGGUCUAUAAAGAGACUCAGAUCCAGUAUUAGGGUCACACAAUAGGUCUAUAUAAGACGACUUCGAAUACAGUAGUAGGGGCCCACUAAGGGUAUAUCUAAAAGAGACUUCCGAAACAGUCAUUAGGGUGACCACUAAGGUUCUAUACAGGGAACUUCAGAUACAUUAUUAGGGC